rnacentral:rRNA from 1 species
GUCGUGGCUCAUCAGACAAAAGGUACUCCGGGGAUAACAGGCUGAUCUCCUCCAAGCGUUCACAGCGACGAGGAGGUUUGGCACCUCGAUGUCGGCUCAUCGCAUCCUGGGGCUGCAGUUGGUCCCAAGGGUUUGGCUGUCCGCCAAUUAAAGCGGUACGCGAGCUGGGUUCAGACCGUCGUGAGACAGGUCGGUCCCUAUCUGCCAUGGGCGCAGGAAGAUUGAGAAGAACUGACUUUAGUACGAGAGGACUUUGUCGGACGGACCUCUGGUGUUCGAGUUGUACUGCCAAGUGCAAUGCUCGGUAGCUACGUCCGGAACGGAUAAACGCUGAAAGCAUCUAAGCGUGAAGCCAGCUUCAAGAUAAAUCUUCCCCGAAGGCCCCUUGUAGACUACGAGGUUGAUAGGCUGGAUGUGUAAGACCCGCGAGGGUUUCAGCUAACCAGUACUAAUUGGCCGUUCGGCUUGAUCGC